CCUACGGGAGGCAGCAGUGGGGAAUCUUGCGCAAUGGGCGAAAGCCUGACGCAGCAACGCCGCGUGCGGGAAGAAGGCUUUCGGGCUGUAAACCGCUUUCAGCAGGAACGAAAAUGACGGUACCUGCAGAAGAAGGAGCGGCCAACUAUGUGCCAGCAGCCGCGGUGAUACAUAGGCUUCAAGCGUUGUCCGGAUUUAUUGGGCGUAAAGAGUUCGUAGGCGGCCGAGUAAGUCGGGUGUGAAAAUUCUGGGCUCAACCCAGAGACGCCACCCGAUACUGCUUGACUUGAGUUCGAUAGGGGAGUGGGGAAUUCCUAGUGUAGCGGUGAAAUGCGCAGAUAUUAGGAGGAACACCGGUGGCGAAGGCGCCACUCUGGAUCGAUACUGACGCUGAGGAACGAAAGCAUGGGUAGCAAACAGGAUUAGAUACCCUGGUAGUCCAUGCCGUAAACGGUGGGCACUAGGUGUGGGUUUCUAUUAACGAAAUCCGCGCCGUCGCUAACGCAUUAAGUGCCCCGCCUGGGGAGUACGGUCGCAAGACUAAAACUUAAAUGAAUUGACGG
rnacentral:rRNA from 1 species